rnacentral:rRNA from 1 species
AUUGAACGCUGGCGGCAGGCCUAACACAUGCAAGUCGAGCGGGGUUUUCGGACCUAGCGGCGGACGGGUGAGUAAUGCGUAGGAAGCUACCCGAUAGAGGGGGAUACCAGUUGGAAACGACUGUUAAUACCGCAUAAUGUCUACGGACCAAAGUGUGGGACCUUCGGGCCACAUGCUAUCGGAUGUGCCUACGUGGGAUUAGCUAGUUGGUGAGGUAAUGGCUCACCAAGGCGACGAUCCCUAGCUGGUUUGAGAGGAUGAUCAGCCACACUGGAACUGAGACGCGGUCCAGACUCCUACGGGAGGCAGCAGUGGGGAAUAUUGGACAAUGGGCGCAAGCCUGAUCCAGCCAUGCCGCGUGUGUGAAGAAGGCCUUCGGGUUGUAAAGCACUUUCAGUAGGGGGGAAGCGUUGUGUGUUAAUAGUACACAGCGUUGACGUUACCUACAGAAGAAGCACCGGCUAACUCUGUGCCAGCCGCCGCAGUAAAAC